rnacentral:lncRNA from 1 species
CGGCGAGGCGCCAUUUCGCCCUCCCCGGCCCGCGCCGCGGCUGAGCCCGCGGUGAGCGGCGCGCCGAGGCCACCGCCGCCUGCAGCAGAAGCCAGCGCUCCGAAACGCCUGUUAAGUAGGCUGUCCGCAAGGAAACGUGAUCUGAAGAGGAAGGGGAAAGUUCAGAGUGGUUCCCCCAGAGCCUCGCAGCCCUGGCAGCGGCCAGACAUCCGUCCCAGCUCGUUGCUUCCCUUGGGGGUGAAAAGCCCAGGAGAGGCAGCUGGCGGGGGCGAGCSGAGGCACCAGGAGCAUUGGGAGACUCAUGAAGCAGCAGGGCAGUACCUAUUGCUCCCCUACUUCCAUACAGAUAAGCCACAGGCAGAAAGUACUUUGCAGUCUGUUGCACCUGGACCUGCAGACAUUACUCCUUAGGUAAGUGCAGCCAUGCACUGGCGUUAUAAAUGAAUGCAUCUCAACAGGCCGGUCCCACUGGGCGGAUUUGUAUCGUCUGUUUUUCCCUUGUCUCCAAGCAGUGACGUCAGAGCUGUUAACUUGUUCAAAAGCUGCAG